rnacentral:lncRNA from 1 species
UCAUUAAUAAUAUUUAUCUUUGUUUCCUCAGAACUGCAGAACCUGAGCCAAACUUCAAACUUUUUUUUUUCUGGGCACUGGCUGAAAACCGCAGCUGUGCGCUCCCAUCGCAGCCCCGGUGCCUGGCUCUGCUGUCAGCUGGAGGCUUGGCUGGGGCUCGUGGCCCCAAGAACCUGGCCAGCAGAACCUGAGCUGGGGCUGGAGGUUUGCCCUCCGGGUACUUCUCGAGAUGUGGCAAACAAACAUAAACUCCUUCCAAAGCUGUGUCUAUCCCCAGGUGCUUGUAGGAGCCCGGGAGGGACGAGAAAAGAGGGGCAAGCGGUGCAAAACCCCGCAGCACCAUUCCCAUGCCACCGGCUGCCCGCGCUCUGCAUUGCGUCUCCGCGUCUUUGUGCUCCUGCUCCAGCCACAGCCUUGUUGGAACAGCCCAACCAUCCUCCUGCCUCAACCAACCACCACUUUUGGGUGACUAAUCUGGGCGAAAGCAGGUUUGAGUGUGCAUUGCAGAGCUGGAGGGCACUGGCACCUUGUCACCUCCUGGAACCGAGCGAGAAUGCGUCUCCAGCUCCGGCAUCCACCUGCAAGCCAAGUCACAUUUUUUCUACCGACCGUUCACUUCAGCUCCCUGCGUUCUCGCUCAUCGGAUGCUCGGUGUUUUCACAGAGGCUGGGACACGGCACUGGGGGCCAGCACAGGCUUCGUUACAAAAGGCCGAAUUCCCCAUCCUGUUGGGGAUGA